rnacentral:snRNA from 1 species
UGCCAUGUGGGCGAUCUGGCUGCGACAUCUGUCACCCCAUUGAUCGCCAGAGUUGAUUCGGCUGAUCUGGCUGGCUAGGUGGGUGUCCCCUUCCUCCCUCACCGCUCCAUGUAUGUCCCUCCUGAAGCUGCGCGCUCGCUCGAAGAGGACCACCAUCCCUGCUAGAGGAGGGUCGGUCUUCGGUCAAGGGUAUACGAGUAGCUGCGCUCCCCUGCUAGAACCUCCAAACAAGCUCUCAAGGAAGUCUUGUAUUCUAUAAUGAGGAAUGUAUAAGGAUAAUGGGAAGCCUUUGAAGAGUAGUGAGCAAAGGAAAACAUUAUCUGACUCCUGUUAUAAAAGGAAUAUCCUGGUUGCU